rnacentral:rRNA from 1 species
AUGUGGGCGGGGUCGGCCGUGGAGGGAGACUUGCUGGUCGGAGCAGCAGGAGCAAGAAGGUUGAGGCGGUUCAGAUCUCUAGACAUGGGUCUUUUUGUCCAUAUACUGAACUAUGAAGUUGGCAAGACAAGAACAUUUAGUUGGAUCCAGAGUAUUGAGAUUGCAGAGGACUCAACAAAGGGUCUGCACUUAUUCUACAAAUUCAGUAUCACGUUAGUGCCUCUGUUUAGUGAUUAUAUAGAACUACCUUUUGAACUUGCAGAAAUUGAAUGCAUAUAA